AGUAGCGGCCGCCGCCGCCGCGCGCCCAUUCCUCUCUGGCGGCGCCGCCGCCCUGCUCUCGUUCCCCUCCCUAUCCAUCUCAAUCUUCUCCCGCACCACCACGAUCUUCAACCUCCUGCUGCCGUAUGUCUCCGAUUUGGAUCGGAGUCCGUGUUCCCGCAGGAUAAGUGCUGCAACACGAAUCCAUGGCGUGCCCGACCUAGAUUUCAGAGGGACUUGGCUGCCAUUAGAAGGAGCCCUCGACCGGAAUCUCCCUUAAAUCGCUUCAUAUCGCAACUUUUGAAGAGUCGUCCAGGAUCGUCUCAGCCGAGUUCGCCGGAAGAAAAUCCGCCGCCCAAGCGUACUACAUCUGAGCCGGAAGAACAUCCCCUGCCGAACAUGCUACCCCAGAGAUCACAUCUUCCUUUGCUUGAACACGUGAGCUGAUUCCGACUUUGGCCUCAAGUUGCUCCCGUCAAUGACAAGUGGGAGGAGUGGGAGUGCUGUGUUCAUGAAAUUGAGUAUCUCAGAAGAAUUUGGUUUGGCACUUAUUUUCCUCAACCUGUUAUUCUUCAAAUGUGCUUCCCAUGGAUUUGAUAAAUUUGGUGAGAUAAUGUUAUGUGUCAGGUAUGGCCAUAAGAUACUCAUGAAACUUAUUUUAUUUUGCCUCACACAAGAUGUAUGUUGUUUAGACUCAUGUACUGCCAGUACUGGUAGAUCGAUGAUCUAAGGAUCAUAUGAAUGAUUAAUGGAGGAUAAUUCAUAUUCAGUUCUCCUCUCAAUUUUUGUGGUGCCAAGCUUGAUCUUUAUCCAUCUAACUGACUGAAAGUGCCUUCUAAUCACUAUUGAACGCAUAUGUUAGUUAGUUUGACUGUAUACACCACACAAAAAGUAAAAAAUGAAUUCUAGAAAAAAUUAGACACAAAUACUACAGAACCAGUGGACCCUUGAGAAACAAAAGGCACACCUAAAGGAUUUUUUUUCUUAACAAAAUGUAUUAAUUUGACUAUUUGAGUAUAAAAAAUGUGCAAUCGCAAUCUUGCUUUUUCAAGGAAAACAGGGGACUGCCACAUACUCGAUAUGGAUCGAGGCUAAUUAUUGAUCUUCCAAGUUAAAAAAAUCUGAAAAUAACUUUCAUUUAGUAAUGGAUAUAUAGUCAAGAAAGGAUGCCUUUCCCGAAAGAUACAAAACAAAAUCGUGUUCGUGUAUGUCCGGCUGACAGAUGAAUCGAUCUCCUUUCAAGUAUCAACACAGCAACCUUGGUGUACGUACAUGUGUGCAUCAAGGAUGCACGGGUCCAUUGGCCUGCGUACCACACAUCCCUUCACUAAUUCCAUCAGUAUCAUUCUUAACAAGGUAAGUAUGAUUCCCUAAUCCCUGAUUUUAUUAAUUGAUCUUUGAUGCUUCAUCCCUAAUGUCGUUAUACCUUAUUGAUUCUAUAAAAGAUCUCAAACAGGAACAUACCAUUUUUGAGGCUACGAUUCCUAUAACUUGCCUUGUCAAUUUGAUAAAAUUACAUGUGUAAUGGAGGUUGUAACUUAUUACGGUUUACAUUGUCAGAAUGAUAUCUGUGUCAUCUCUGAACAUAUGUAUAUAUUUGGUGUGCCGGAUUUUCUGAUGUAGAUGCUAUAUAAGAGGAAGCUAUUCGACAAUCC